rnacentral:lncRNA from 1 species
GUUCCCGCCCGUGCCGGAAGCCUCGGCGCGGCAGCGCGACACGAGGCUCCCCAGACCCAGCCGGGCAGUGCCGCUAGCGAGGCGGGCAGAGCUGCCCGGGUGGCACCCCGCGCACCCUGUGUUCCGGAGGCACCGUGAAGAAGCCCUCCUUACGAAUACACUUCAGACGGAUCUGCUCGCACUCCAGAUCUGGCUCCGCCAUGCCGAGCGCUGGCCCCGCCUCUCUUGCGCGCAGGCGCAGACGCGGACGGCCCCGCGGCGCAGGCGCGAAAGCUCCUUCCCGGGCUUCCUCUCCUUAGCAACGGUUACCAAGAGACGCUCCCGCGGGUCCGCCCUAGGCGCUGGGCUCCAGGGAUCGGCUCCGACUGCUGCAGUUCGGGCCUUAUUUUAGGGUGAAGCCCGGGCAGCCGACCCGGCUGCGCCGUAGUGGGAGGCCACGGCGAUUACCCAGGUGAAGGUCUUCCAGCCCAGCCCUGGAAGGUGGAAAAAGAAAAGUUGACAUGGAAUGUUUAGGAAGCACCAUUGGUCCAGGUCCAGGAUCGGGGCAGCCAGCAUGUCCUCUAAUCUGGCUUCACUGUUGAAAUCCAGUCGAGCAAGCAGGGCCCAAACCACUGCGAGACCAGCUCGGUCGGGCCCAAACCACCGCCCACUGCGAGACCAGCUCGGUCGGGCCCAAACCACCGCCCACUGCGGGACCAGCUCGGUCGGGCCCAAACCACCGCCCACUGCGGGACCAGCUCGGUCGGGCCCAAACCACUGCCCACUGCGGGACCAGCUCGGUCGUGGAGACCCUAACCCAGCGGCGCUAGAGGAAUUAAAGAAACACACACAGAAAUAUAGGGUGUGGAGUGGGAAAUCAGGGGUCUCACAGCCUUCGAAGCUGAAAGCCUCGAACAGAGAUUUACCCACAUAUUUAUUGACAGCAAGCCAGUGAUAAGCAUUGUUUCUAUAGAUUAUAGAUUAAAAGCACUUCUUACGGGAAAUAAAGGGAUGGGUCUGGCUAGUUAUCUGCAGCAGGAGCACGUCCUUAAGGCACAGAUCGCUCAUGCUAUUGUUUGUGGUUCAGGAACUCCUUUAAGCGGUUUUCCGCCCUGGGUGGGCCAGGUGUUCCUUGCCCUCAUUCCAGUGUGGGAGUCAUGGCCAUCAUGAGCAUGUCACAGUGCAGCAGAGAUUUUGUUUAUGGCCAGUUUUGCGGCCAGUUGAUGGCCAGAUUUGGGGGCCUCUUCCCAACAGCCCACAGCCAGACCUAGACUCCAUUCAGAUUGGUUUUGAUCAGCAUGUAGAAAAUGGGGGAGUUGAGUGUGGUAUACAAAAUGGGGGUGUUGGCCAGGCGCGUGAGCCACCGAGCCCGGCCACAAAAAUUGUAUCAUUGAGAAAAUUAUGCCAAUUGGGGAAGAUCUGAUGUAGCCAAACCCCCUUUGACCUUUAGCCUUCAAGCUGCCUUCAGUUAUUCUUGGGCUAGCUUUGGGAGAUGUUUAUAGUUUACAUGAUAAUAGCCCCUCCCCAAAACUCAACUGUAUUUGUAAAACUAAUGAGGGGCCACCAGGCUAGGGAGAGGAGAGGAGCCUGAAUUUGGCUAAGAUGUAGACAUAAACAAUUAUCAGCCAUUAUUCCAGAGGUCCUGCAGAUAACAAUGCUAUUGUAACCUAAGAUUGGCCUUUUGCAGUACCUCGCAAGGGUUUUUUGCAUGUCUGAUACCUACGGCUCCAACAGGACCCACUGACUGAUGAUGGCUCCACCUGGACCUGCCAACUACUCCUGCAGCCCCACCCAGAAGCGGUUCAGCACACGGGAGGAUCCUGUCUCACACCCUACGAUGGCCCCCCGCCCCCACAACCCAUCAGCAGCAAGCACCCACUGCCAAGCUACCCCACCCCUUCCCCCAAACUACCUUUGGAACACCCUAGUCCCCAAAUUCUUGGGGAGACUGAUUUCAGUAAUCAUCAAAUUCUGGUCUCCCAUUCACUUGUCUCUGUGUGAAUUAAACCCUUUCUCUAUUGCA